rnacentral:lncRNA from 1 species
GUGCCCAGGAAAGUACUCUGAAAUAACAACCUCUGUUUGCUUUUAUGAAGGUCAGCUCAUUCACCCCUGCCCCGGAGCCGCAGGAGGGAGCUUGUUUCUCCGACGGCUGUGGAUGGCCGGGUGGACCUGCCGGCGCUGCCCUUCUCCCCCAGCUGGCUUCCUCCUGGGCCAGAGCAGAUGGGCAUGCUCACCGUCCACCGCCCAGCCGUCCUGGGCGCAGUGACCCGAGGAGGGAGCGCUGUCCUCUCUGAGAGCUUCCAUCUGCAACUGUGGAGGCUUCCGCCGCCUGGCCAGAAGCACGAGCUUGGAGUUACGAUGGGGAGCGGCCUCACGGUGAAUCCAGUCUGGGUCCUUCAGCAUUUCAGGUAUUAUUUUAAUCCAGG